rnacentral:rRNA from 1 species
GACGAACGCUGGCGGCGUGCCUAAUACAUGCAAGUAGGACGCAGUUGCGAACGGGUGAGUAACGCGUAUGUGACUGCCUAUUAGAGGGGGAUAACUAUUGGAAACGAUAGCUAAUACCGCAUACUAGUAGAUGGAGCUGCGUUGUAUUAGCUAGUAGGUAGGGUAAUGGCCUACCUAGGAAACGAUACAUAGCCGACUUGGGAGGGGGAUCGGCCACACUGGGACUGGGACACGGCCCAGACUCCUCAGGGAGGGAGCAGUAGGGAAUCUUCGGCAAUGGGGGGAACCCUGACCGAGCAACGCCGCGUGAGUGAAGAAGGUUUUCGGAUCGUAAAGCUCUGUUGUUAAGGAAGCGGUACUUAACCAGAAAGGGACGGCUAACUACGUGCCAGCAGCCGCGGUAAUUC